GACGAACGCUGGCGGCGUGCUUAACACAUGCAAGUCGAGCGGUAAGGCCCUUUCGGGGGUACACGAGCGGCGAACGGGUGAGUAACACGUGGGUGACCUGCCCUCAGCUCUGGGAUAAGCCUGGGAAACCGGGUCUAAUACUGGAUAUGACUCCAUGACGCAUGUUGUGGGGUGGAAAGCCUUGUGCGGCUGAGGAUGGGCCCGCGGCCUAUCAGCUUGUUGGUGGGGUGANGGCCUACCAAGGCGACGACGGGUAGCCGGCCUGAGAGGCGACCGGCCACACUGGGACUGAGACACGGCCCAGACUCCUACGGGAGGCAGCGGUGGGGAAUCUUGCGCAAUGGGACGAAAGCCUGACGCAGCGACG
rnacentral:rRNA from 1 species